CAAGAAAAUGCAGCCCUGUUGGUCUUUAUUUCUGUAUCGCAUCGCGACUAUUAAUUACAAGCACAGCAUCAUCAACGGUGAUUGCAAGAACUACUGCAAUCCCUGCGGUUUUUCCUCUUGGUAAAUGCGUUCUGGUCGUGACCAAGGGGGGGUCUCCCAAAUCGGCCGGGAAUAAGAUUAGUCAUUUUAAAUUUUAUAUCUUUGUUCGUCGACAUUAUAUGACAUGUCAUCAUUGCAGGCUAUUGUUGCAGAACAAAACGCCGCAACCACUGCUGUGGUAAAUAUGUUCCAGCAGAACUGUCCACCGCCGUCGGUGUAAUGAUUUCGAUAGCUGAACAAACGCCAUCUCCUGGGCAUUCCCACAGCUUGCCGACACUAGCUAUUAUAUCACGUGUGAAUGCAACUGCGGCUUAAUUUGGUUAUUAACAGUGCAAUAGUACCAUGUCAUUGGCAAAAACACUAAGGGCUGCUGGCAAAUAUAGGUUGUAAAGUUUUUGGUAUCGAUGAACUUACUCGAAGAAGACGAUGGCCGAAAACAUAUGAUGAAACAUCUUCUGGCAUGCCUUUGACAAUCGUUAAGUCAGACGGAGGCUUCACAUACGAUAUUUCACACAUGGCUGGAAUUCGUUAGCGGACAGAGCACACAUUUA